UGUUGGGUUAAGUCCCGCAACGAGCGCAACCCUCGUUCUAUGUUGCCAGCACGUCAUGGUGGGGACUCAUAGGAGACUGCCGGGGUCAACUCGGAGGAAGGUGGGGAUGACGUCAAAUCAUCAUGCCCCUUAUGUCUUGGGCUGCAAACAUGCUACAAUGGCCGGUACAAAGGGCUGCGAUACCGCGAGGUGGAGCGAAUCCCAAAAAGCCGGUCUCAGUUCGGAUUGGGGUCUGCAACUCGACCCCAUGAAGUCGGAAUCGCUAGUAAUCGCGUAACAGCAUGACGCGGUGAAUACGUUCCCGGGCCUUGUACACACCGCCCG
rnacentral:rRNA from 14 species